rnacentral:misc_RNA from 1 species
CAACCCUCAAGCACUGCUUGGUCUUGGGCCGCGCCGGCGACGGCGGGCCUCAAACGUAGUGGCGGCACCAUCGGUUCCCUCAGUGUAGUAACAUCUCUCGCUGCUGGGCUUCGGUGGCUGCUAGCCAGUAACCCCUAAUUUUCUCUGG